GACGAACGCUGGCGGCGUGCUUAACACAUGCAAGUCGAACGGUAAGGCCCUUCGGGGUACACGAGUGGCGAACGGGUGAGUAACACGUGGGUGAUCUGCCCUGCACUUCGGGAUAAGCCUGGGAAACUGGGUCUAAUACCGGAUAUGACCUCUGCCUGCAUGGGUGGGGGUGGAAAGCUUUUGCGGUGUGGGAUGGGCCCGCGGCCUAUCAGCUUGUUGGUGGGGUUAAGGCCUACCAAGGCGACGACGGGUAGCCGGCCUGAGAGGGUGUCCGGCCACACUGGGACUGAGAUACGGCCCAGACUCCUACGGGAGGCAGCAGUGGGGAAUAUUGCACAAUGGGCGCAAGCCUGAUGCAGCGACGCCGCGUGGGGGAUGACGGCCUUCGGGUUGUAAACCUCUUUCACCAGGGACGAAGCGCAAGUGACGGUACC
rnacentral:rRNA from 1 species